GAGGUUGUGGCUCAGUGGUAGAGUGCUUGCCUAGCAUGUGUGAGGCACUGGGUUUGAUUCUCAGCACCACA
rnacentral:tRNA from 1 species